rnacentral:rRNA from 1 species
GACAUAGGUGGCAAGCGUUAUUCGGAAUUACUAGGCGUAAAGCGAGUGUAGGCGGACGAUUAAGUCCGAUGUUAAAUCUCCAGGCUUAACUUGGAGUCGCAUCGGAUACUGGUCGCCUUGAGUGGGGUAGGGGGCAGCGGAAUUCCCGGUGUAGCGGUGAAAUGCGUAGAUAUUGGGAGGAACACCGGUGGCGAAGGCGGCUACCUGGACAGUGACUGACGCUGAGACGCGAAAGCAUGGGUAGCAAACAGGAUUAGAUACCCGAGUAU